rnacentral:rRNA from 1 species
AGCUAGUUGGUGAGGUAAUGGCCCACCAAGGCGACGAUCGGUAGCCGGACUGAGAGGUUGAACGGCCACAUUGGGACUGAGACACGGCCCAGACUCCUACGGGAGGCAGCAGUGGGGAAUAUUGCACAAUGGGGGAAACCCUGAUGCAGCGACGCCGCGUGGAGGAAGAAGGUCUUCGGAUUGUAAACUCCUGUUGUUGAGGAAGAUAAUGACGGUACUCAACAAGGAAGUGACGGCUAACUACGUGCCAGCAGCCGCGGUAAAACGUAGGUCACAAGCGUUGUCCGGAAUUACUGGGUGUAAAGGGAGCGCAGGCGGGCGAUCAAGUUGGAAGUGAAAUCCAUGGGCUCAACCCAUGAACUGCUUUCAAAACUGAUUGUCUUGAGUAGUGCAGAGGUAGGCGGAAUUCCCGGUGUAGCGGUGGAAUGCGUAGAUAUCGGGAGGAACACCAGUGGCGAAGGCGGCCUACUGGGCACCAACUGACGCUGAGGCUCGAAAGUGUGGGUAGCAAACAGGAUUAGAUACCCUGGUAGUCCACACCGUAAACGAUGAUUACUAGGUGUUGGAGGAUUGACCCCUUCAGUGCCGCAGUUAACACAAUAAGUAAUCCACCUGGGGAGUACGACCGCAAGGUUGAAACUCAAAGGAAUUGACGGGGGCCCGCACAAGCAGUGGAGUAUGUGGUUUAAUUCGACGCAACGCGAAGAACCUUACCAAGUCUUGACAUCCUGCGACGAUGCUAGAAAUAGUAUUUUCCUUCGGGACGCAGAGACAGGUGGUGCAUGGUUGUCGUCAGCUCGUGUCGUGAGAUGUUGGGUUAAGUCCCGCAACGAGCGCAACCCUUAUGGUCAGUUACUACGCAAGAGGACUCUGGCCAGACUGCCGUUGACAAAACGGAGGAAGGUGGGGAUGACGUCAAAUCAUCAUGCCCUUUAUGACUUGGGCUACACACGUACUACAAUGGCGUUAAACAAAGAGAAGCAAGACCGCGAGGUGGAGCAAAACUCAGAAACAACGUCCCAGUUCGGACUGCAGGCUGCAACUCGCCUGCACGAAGUCGGAAUUGCUAGUAAUCGUGGAUCAGCAUGCCACGGUGAAUACGUUCCCGGGCCUUGUACACACCGCCCGUCACACCAUGAGAGCCGGGGGGACCCGAAGUCGGUAGUCUAACCGCAAGGAGGACGCCGCCGAAGGUAAAACUGGUGAUUGGGGUGAAGUCGAACAAGGUAGCCGUAGGAGAACCUGCGGCUG